GUAUGUAAGAAGGUAAACUGGUGUAUGUAGGAAGGUAAACUGGUGUAAGUAAGAAGGUAAACAGGUGUAUGUAAGAAGGUAAACAAGUGUAUGUAAGAAGGUAAACAGGUGUAUGUAAGAAGGUAAACAGG